ensembl:lncRNA
UUCAGUGCUUAGCAAGGACAGAAGUUUUCUCCAGAUGGCUUUUCUGGAAAAAGUUCAGCUGUCUGUGUGUAAGCAGUGGUGAUGAACUGAAACUUCAGCAGUGACAUGACACCCUGUGUUCUCAGGUGCCAGAUGUGGAAAGCGAGAUAAGGAAAAACCAUUUUCAGAAAAUUUGAAGAAGACUGCCAAAAAAGAUAACAUCAAACAUAAAGAGAAUUCAGCAGACAUCUGAUGAUUUGAAUUGCUGACAGUGGAAAUGGAGAAAACACAUACAUAGAGGACUUGCGUGUCUGA